rnacentral:misc_RNA from 1 species
ACUGGUUUGGAAGUACAGACCUAUUUAUGUUAGUAAGUUUAAAGUUGUUCCCGUUUAGCGUUAUCCUCGAUACCUCUUCAUUGUUAAUUCCUUCUAAUUAAUUCCCAUAAAUAAAAAUACAAAACAAACCGCCUAUGCCUUAUGGCAAAUUAAAUAAAUUAAAGGAAAUUCUAUGUCUAAUACAAUGACUGGUACAGUAAAAUGGUUCGAUGAAGGUAAAGGUUUUGGUUUUAUUACUCCA